rnacentral:rRNA from 1 species
CAAUAGCGUAUAUUAAAGUUGUUGCAGUUAAAAAGCUCGUAGUUGGAUUUCUGGUGGGAGCGAUCGGUCUGGCGCUUAGCGCGAGUACUUGCAUCGUCUCCGGCCAUCCUUGGGGAGAGUCUGUCUGGCAUUAGGUUGUCGGGCAGAGGAUCCUCAUCGUUUACUGUGAAAAAAUUAGAGUGUUCAAAGCAGGCUUAUGCCGUUGAAUAUAUUAGCAUGGAAUAAUAAGAUAGGACUUUGGUACUAUUUUGUUGGUUUGCGCACCAAAGUAAUGAUUAAUAGGGACAGUUGGGGGUAUUCGUAUUCCGUUGUCAGAGGUGAAAUUCUUGGAUUUACGGAAGAUGAACUACCGCGAAAGCAUUUACCAAGGAUGUUUUCAUUAA